GGGGUGGUCGGCGACAAGGCGGCCGCGGCGCCACCGACGCCGCGCCCAAGGGAGGGGGCUGAGCGGGUCGCCCCCGCACUACCCUA
rnacentral:tRNA from 1 species